CCCGGGCGACCGGCGCACGGGUGAGUAACGCGUAUGCAACUUACCUAUCAGGAGGGGGAUAACCCGGCGAAAGUCGGACUAAUACCGCAUGAAGCAGGGGCCCCGCAUGGGGAUAUUUGCUAAAGAUUCAUCGCUGAUAGAUAGGCAUGCGUUCCAUUAGGCAGUUGGCGGGGUAACGGCCCACCAAACCGACGAUGGAUAGGGGUUCUGAGAGGAAGGUCCCCCACAUUGGUACUGAGACACGGACCAAACUCCUACGGGAGGCAGCAG
rnacentral:rRNA from 1 species